rnacentral:rRNA from 1 species
CCUACGGGGGGCAGCAGUGGGGAAUAUUGGACAAUGGGGGGAACCCUGAUCCAGCCAUGCCGCGUGUGUGAAGAAGGCCCUCGGGUUGUAAAGCACUUUCAGUGAGGAAGAACGCCUGGUGGUUAAUACCCAUCAGGAAAGACAUCACUCACAGAAGAAGCACCGUCUAACUCCGUGCCAGCAGCCGCGGUAAUACGGAGGGUGCGAGCGUUAAUCGGAAUUACUGGGCGUAAAGCGCGCGUAGGUGGCUUGAUAAGCCGGUUGUGAAAGCCCCGGGCUCGACCUGGGAACGGCAUCCGGAACUGUCCAGCUAGAGUGCAGGAGAGGGAGGUAGAAUUCCCGGUGUAGCGGUGAAAUGCGUAGAGAUCGGGAGGAAUACCAGUGGCGAAGGCGGCCUUCUGGACUGAGACUGACACUGAGGUGCGAAAGCGUGGGUAGCAAACAGGAUUAGAUACCCUGGUAGUA